UCCUACGGGGGGCAGCAGUGGGGAAUUUUCCGCAAUGGGCGAAAGCCUGACGGAGCAAUACCGCGUGAGGGAAGAAUGCCUGUGGGUUGUAAGCCUCUUUUCUUAAGGAAGAAAAAUGACGGUACUUAAGGAAUAAGCAUCGGCUAACUCCGUGCCAGCAGCCGCGGUAAUACGGGGGAUGCAAGUGUUAUCCGGAAUUAUUGGGCGUAAAGCGUCUGUAGGUGGCUAAAUAAGUCGGUUGUUAAAUAUUGAGGCUCAACCUUAAAUCAGCAGCCGAAACUGUUUGACUGGAGUAUGGUAUGGGUAAGGGGAAUUCCCAGUGUAGCGGUGAAAUGCGUAGAUAUUGGGAAGAACACCAGAAGCGAAGGCGCCUUACUGGGCCAUUACUGACACUCAGAGACGAAAGCUAGGGGAGCGAAUGGGAUUAGAUACCCCAGUAGUCCUAGCCGUAAACGAUGGAUACUAGAUGUUGUACGUAUCGAUCCGUGCAGUAUCGUAGCUAACGCGUUAAGUAUCCCGCCUGGGAAGUACGCUCGCAAGAGUGAAACUCAAAGGAAUUGACGG
rnacentral:rRNA from 1 species